GAUGAACGCUGGCGGCGUGCCUAAUACAUGCAAGUCGAGCGAAUGGAUUAAGAGCUUGCUCUUAUGAAGUUAGCGGCGGACGGGUGAGUAACACGUGGGUAACCUGCCCAUAAGACUGGGAUAACUCCGGGAAACCGGGGCUAAUACCGGAUAACAUUUUGAACCGCAUGGUUCGAAAUUGAGAGGCGGCUUCGGCUGUCACUUAUGGAUGGACCCGCGUCGCAUUAGCUAGUUGGGGAGGUAACGGCUCACCAAGGCAACGAUGCGUAGCCGAACUGGGAGGGUGAGCGGCCACACUGGGACUGAGCAACGGCCCAGACUCCUACGGGAGGCAGCAGUAGGGAAUCUUCCGCAAUGGACGAAAGUCUGACGGAGCAACGCCGCGUGCGUGAUGAAGGCUUUCGGGUCGUAAAACUCUGUUGUUAGGGAAGACCAAGUGCUAGUUGAAUAAGCUGGCACCUUGACGGUACCUAACCAGAAAGCCACGGCUAACUACGUGCCAGCCGCCGCAGUAA
rnacentral:rRNA from 1 species